UACGUAGGGACCAAGCGUUGUUCGGAUUUACUGGGCGUAAAGGGCGCGUAGGCGGCAAUUCAAGUCAGCUGUGAAAUCUCCGGGCUUAACUCGGAACGGUCAGCUGAUACUGCUUUGCUAGAGUGCAGAAGGGGCAAUCGGAAUUCCCGGUGUAGUGGUGAAAUGCGUAGAUAUCGGGAGGAACACCAGUGGCGAAGGCGACUUCCUGGCCUGUUCUUGACGCUGAGGCGCGAAAGCUAGGGUAGCAAACGGG
rnacentral:rRNA from 1 species